CUUUCGUCUUGCGAUGGGUCUACCUCCAACCCACUGAAACCAAAGUGGGCUCCGUCUCAUUCUGGCCUAGGCAGAACAGGGCCCACAGCGCCCUCCCCUUAUAACCACGACUUCCUUCUCUUCCAGGGCACAUUCAGAAGAGACAGGCAUCUCCCUUGUGCAGGGCGGCUCCGUGGCCUGCCCGUCACCACCUGUCUGGGCUCCCUCCCCUUGAGUGAUGACUUCUCCCCAGCAGCUGACACCUGAGCUGGAGAGGGUGAAGAGCUGCCAUUCUCCAGAAAUAGACAGUGACACAGCAGAUGUUAGACUGAGAUUAAUCUCUUGCACCGGACCGGCCCCUUGCCAACAAACAGGCCUGCAGCCAGAGGAUCUCUCAGGCCCUUUCCCCUGAUCUGGCCUCCUGGGAACUGCGUAACUCAGAUUAACAACAGGCUCUGGAGAGCUGAACGUUGUAUUACGUGCUCACUGGAAAUUUGGAUGUGUCCUUCUGUGAACUGCCUGCCCAGGAGCUAUGACAUGAGCUUUGCAAGUCUUCCCAAGAUGAGAGGCCCAGAGAACCUGGGCAAUUUGUCUAAGGCCACUUGGAGUCUGGACUGGAACCCAGGUCUCCUGACUCCCUGUGUAGUGCUCUUCCCAGGCACCAGGUCCUUAAUUCACCCUGAGCAUCUGGGGAAGCUGCACGUGCUACAGUCGCUGCUGCAGCCGCUUCAAGCCGCAGAGAAAUGUUCUUCGUAAGGAGGCAGCCGAGAGGGGACUGCAGGGCUUGCUUCUCUCCUGGGGACAGGGGUGCCAGGAACACCAGCUUUAAUUUCUGAUAGUGCUGACCUGUGUUCUCCACCACCACUUUCAUUAAAUAUCGACAGUUGCAUAUGGGGAAAAUUCCCAAUUAAACUCCCGUCUUGUCUCCACCGCAGACACUUCGUCUGAUUGAGUAAUAAGCUGAUUUUGCUAAGAGGAAGCUACAUCUGCAGCUUCGGGUCAAGGGCUCACCCUGGCUUGUCCUGGCUCCACAGAGUGUGUCCUGUAGAAGGGGCAGUGCAGUAAUGGGGACCCUGCACCAGGGGUGUGACCUGUGUCUGCAUCCCACAUGCUAGCCUGAGUCCCACCCCUCAUCUUAAAACACUGACAUAAGUCGCACACAUAAGCGAGGAAAACCGACUGACUGUUCAUGUGAUUUUUGUAAUCUGUCCUUCCCCUGGUAAGAAAGGAGCAGAGAAUGAUCAUAGUGUUUUGUUUUUUUUGUUUUGU